rnacentral:lncRNA from 1 species
UCUUGUUUACAUCACGGAGCAGACGCCGAAGACAGUCGGAUCAGCUGGAAAGUUCUUCCUAUUUAUCAAGUUUUAAAAGGUUGUCGCUUUCUUAAUAUGAUCCGAAGACCUCGUGGAGUGACUGUACCCCAACUGGCAUUUGUGAGUUUUGUCGGAAUCCUGGGAGGGAUUUAUAUCUGGAAACCUCUGCUGGUGAAGUUCAAGGCAGAACAGUCUGGAAGUUCUUCAAAUGCUGCAACUACUGCUGAUGCAUAAACUUCCUUAGUGGUAUAUUUAUACACUGGACUUUGGACAGUGAGGAGUCUGAAGCUGUGAGAUAUUUUUAGCAAGACUUAACAUUAUAUGCUAAGGCAAGAUGACUGUACCAGCUGCCGGGACAUAUCCCAUCUUAACUACAGCUCUCUUUACAUCAUUAACAAUGAUUUUGGGGUACAAAUUGUUCAUUUCUCCGACGCUGACCAGGAGGCAUCGAGAGAGGCAAGAAGAGCUCGCAGACCAAGUGUAUAGUUUUACAAAGAAAGAUAUGGCCGUACCUCCAGGAAGUCAGAAAAGCUGAUUGUACAUGAGAUAUAUUUUAUAGUGUAUAUAGGAAAUUCUUAAACCACUUGCAUUGUUAAUAAAUGUUUGAUUAAG